rnacentral:rRNA from 1 species
UACGUAGGGUGCAGCGUUGUCCGGAAUUAUUGGGCGUAAAGAGCUCGUAGGCGGUUUGUCGCGUCUGCUGUGAAAACUCGGGGCUUAACUCCGGGCCUGCAGCCGAUACGGGCAGGCUAGAGUUCGGUAGGGGAGACUGGAAUUCCUGGUGUAGCGGUGAAAUGCGCAGAUAUCAGGAGGAACACCGGUGGCGAAGGCAGGUCUCUGGGCCGAUACUGACGCUGAGGAGCGAAAGCGUGGGGAGCGAACAGG